GGCAGGGGGCAUCUUGGGUGCCUUGAAAGCUUCCCCGGUCAGGUCGGGAAUGGGAUGACUUGCAUGCGCCUGAGGGUGGUUUCUGGGCUCGCUUCAGUUCCUUCAAUUAAAACUUUUCAUGGAUAGAGUUUUGAGAGCUGGAAGGGAUUUUAGAAACCCUUGAAUGAAGAUGUUGAGGGCAACAAAGGAAAAAUAAAUGACCCAAAGCCACCCAGCUAAUGAGACUGGGAAGUGGGAACAGGGGCUGUCCAUUAGAUGCCCUUCUUGUUCCUUGGGGUUCAUGGGGACCCACGCCUUUCAAUCCAGAGUGAAGGUGAGGCAUAAAAUGCACAUGCGUUGGGGUGAAAUGACAUAUGAAUUCAAUUCACAUUAAGAGCUAAAUAAUUGAUGUUUAAUACUUUACUGAAGACAGAUUUUGAUGAGCAGAGGCCCUUGAGAUCCACGGAGGAGCACUUCUGACCACCAGGGUAGGGAGGCAGCAUCUCUUCUAAGGCCAUCCCAGCCUUCAUGGUUCUGGAGGGGAUGGGUGGGAGGAAGCUGAGACCUGUGGGGUCUCUGAAAUAGAACCAGUUUCCUCCCACAGAGGAGUGAUAACAGGAAACCUAACUAAUGACCACCCCUAGUCAGACAUUUUGCAACAUUUCUCCAAAAAGAUACCAGUCUUAGGAGCACCUUUACUUUUGGAUUAAACUUCUGCUCCCCCAUGAAACAUGGAAACUCCUGUGUUUUCCAACUCUUCCUUCGCCUCCCACCACACUCCUGAGGCAGCCUCUUAAAUGAGAAACCCAACAGGUGAGAAUGGUAUAAGUCCUUCCUACACACCAGAGGACCCUAAAUUAAGUUCAGUAAUAGCCUUAGCCAACAUUUAUUUCACCUUUUUUUUUUUUAAGCACUUCACUAGCAUUACCUCAUGCCAUCUUGAUAACUAUUGUUAUUGGCCCGUUUCACCAUGAGGAUAUGGAAGCUCAGAGAGGUUAAAUAAUUUGCUCAUGGUCAACCCAGGUAGCAGUUAGGGCCAAGACUUGUUCUACAGCCUAUACUUCAGCUACUCCAGACUGCUUCCCGUGGUGGAAACAAAAUUUUUUGUGGCAUAGAGGGAGCGAAAUAGAAUGUCAUCCAACAGCAAGAUGAGGUCCACACUGUUUAUUACCUAGGCUAGAGGAUACUGAAGAGUGAGGCCCUGGAGAGCAGCUAGCUGAGAGCUGAAGUUAGGAUGGGGUUGCCAUGGUCUGUGCUCUGUGCCUGGGACUUGGGGUACAUUUCUGCUUUUCUGGGCGAAUCGCCUAAAUAUCCCCUUCACUUCUCUUUGGUAGCAUCUUGGGCCAUCGAUACCACAUCACCUCCAUUCCAUUCUUGUCUCAUAUCUGUCACCCAACUCAUUUCCGUGACCUAAACCUGCAAGUAUUUGGUCUCUGCUGAAUGCAGGUAAAGCUGAUUCCUGCUACCCAGCAGCAGUUGACUUAAGCUCUUAGUUGUUCCUUCUUCUCCUGUUAUCUCUUUUCUGCUACUUCCUUUAGAUAUUUCAUCACCUCCCCCAGGAAGCACACAGUGGAAGGAAAGCAUGCUCAUUUUUAGUCUUUUGCUGUCAACUAAUUUUGUUAGUAGUUCCCACUAGAAAAAGACAAGUGGGGAAGUAGUGUGAGGCUUGUAGAUUACCUUUUUGCCUGUGCAGUUCCAUUGAUCUGAUAGCUUAGAUAAUGUCUGAACUUUUUUCUUAGCUGGGCCCUGGCUGUGUUUAUUGAAUUAUCUGUCAUCUUUCACUCAUGACCCAUGCUUGGUCAUAUUCUGUGACUGAGGAAUAUGGACAGCACUAGAUUUUUCACUGUCUCUCCUUUAAUGAGUUAAUGUGUGUAAAGUCCUAGGACAUUUUCUGACCCAGCAUAAGUACCCAACAAUUGUUGGUUAUUAUUAUUGUUGACAUUAUAACAUUGUUUGAAAAAUUACAAUAUCCAAGGCACCAAUUAUUUUUGUUUUCCUGAGAUUUGUUUGUUAUAGCAUCCAGGAUUGUGUUUUAAAGCAAAAUUUCCUCAAGGGCAGGAAACACAGAUGAUAUAAUAGAGCAGUACUAGCUAUAAUCUCCUUAGGGGAAGACUUCUGCUUCUAGACAUGAUGGACUAGCUUGUAGCAGAUCAGUCCUCCAUAUGAGAACAACUAGAAAACCUAGAUUUUUAAAAAACUGAGGAGUAUCUAUUUGGAAGCAUUGGAGAGUUACUAAGGCAGAGUCUAAAGUGGUAGGGGAAAAGGAAAAACAGAGAGGUGAGUGGCCUAACCUAGAGCUGCUUUCUCCACAAAGCUUUUGUGAUUCUGAAUAAGUACAGAGAUGCUGAGCAGCUGAGCAGGAUUGUUGAUUCCAAAGGCCUGAGGAAACAAAAUUGGGAUUUAGGUCCUUCCAAAGGAGGAGUUCUAGUAAAAAUCCUAGUCUUUCAGCUGGAAACCUUGAAGGUCUAUACCCUGGUAUUAAAGCUAGCCUGAAAAUGCACUAGUAUUCACAGAGACUGAAACUCAGAUCUGAAUUAAUUCAAUCUCAGAUUAGAUUAAGGAGAUAUUCUCCUAGCUAAUUGCCUUCCAGAAACAAAGUAAAUCCUUUCUGGAGGAAGCUAACAUCAUCUAGAAUCUCAAUUCAUCACUACAAUUUUUUUAUGCACAGUAUAUGAAUUUUUUUUUUUAAAUACUGGGAAUACCAGAAGAUAGGACCAAAUGACUGAAAACCAAGAGAAAAAAAAUUGAAAUAAUUUAAACAUGUAUGUUGAGUCUUUUAAAAGGAAUCAAAUAAAAAUUCUAGGCCUGAUAUUAAAAACUUAAAUAUGAGCCAGAAGAAAAUGUGCAGACUUCACUACAAGUACAAUAGUAUUAAAAGUUUAUGAAAUAACAGAAAAGAGCCUAAGAGAUGGAUGGAAACCAAUGUAAACUUUGUGUAGUUAGAGUCCUUGAAGGAAAGGAGAGAGGUAACAUAGCAUCAAAAAGAUUAGAAGAGAUGCGAGUUCCCAUUGUGGCUCAGUGGUAACGAACCCGACUAGUAUCUGUAAGGAUGCGGGUGCGAUCCCUGGCCUCACUCAAAGGGUUAAGAAUCCAGCCUUGCUGUGAGCUGUGGUGUAGGUUGCAGACACGGCUCAGAUCCUGUGUUGCUGUGGCUAUGGCGUAGGCCAGGGACUACAGCUCCAAUUUGACACCUAGCCUGGGCACUUACAUAUGCUGCAGGUAGGGCACCCCCCCAAAUAAAAGUCUAAACAACUGUGGGGAAAAUGGUAACAAGAUGUGAAUGCAAUAAACUUGACAAUCAUGAGGCUAAUUUAAAAAAUUGAGAUGGGAAAAUUAAAAAAAAAAAGAUUUGAAGAUAAAAUAAUCUGAGGAUUUAAAAACUGACAAACAUAAAGCCACAAAUUCAGAAAGUGCUACAAAGCCCAAGAAGGCAAAUACAAAGAAUGCUAUAACUAGGCACAUUAUAGUGAAACAGCUGAAAACAACCGAAGGAAAAAAACUGUAAAAGCAGCCCAUGUUAAAAAACAAAGCAAACAAAACAACGGCAAUAAAAAACCUACAAAAUUAGCUUAAAGGCAACAAUAAGCCAAUUUUCAACAAAAACAGUGGAAACCAAAAAAUAAUGAAAUGACGUCUUUAAAAGGUUAAAAUAAAAUGACUAUUAACCUAAAAUUCUAUACUCAGAGAACGUACCUUUCAAAAAUGAGAGUGUAGCAUUCCCAAUGUGGCUCAGCAGAAACGAACCUGGUUGGUAUAUAUAAGGAUGCAGGUUCAAUCCCUGGCCUCACUCAGUGGGGCAUUGCUGUGAGCUGUGCUGUAGGUCUCAGACAAGGCUUGGAUCUGGUGUGGCUAUGGCUGUGGCCAGCAGCUGCAGCUCCAAUUUUACCCUUAGCCUGGAACCCUAAAAGAGCAAGGGAAAAAAAGGUGAAAUUUAAGACAUUUCCAGCCGAACAAAAACUGAGAUGGUUUCUGGCUAGCUGACACCAAAGGAAAAACUGAACAGUUUUUCAGGUAGAAGGAAAAGAAUCCCAGAUGGAAUCAAGAAGAUGCAGAAAGGAAUGGAGAGCAAUGUAAAGAGUAAACAUAUGGGAAAAUCUAAAUUAACCUUGACUGUAUAAAAUAACAUCUUGAGAGAGUUAGAAUAUAUUUAGAAUUAAAAUUAUUUAAUAAAUCAAGGGGAGUUCCCAUCGUGGCAAAGCAGUGACGAAACCGACCAGUAUCCAUGAGGAUGCGGGUUCAGUCCCUGGCCCUGCUCAGUGGGUUAAGGAUCCAGUGUUGCCAUGAGCUGUGGUGUAGGUCACAGACAUGGCUUGGAUCUCAUGUUGCUAUGGCUGUGGCCUAGGUUGGCAGCUGCAGCUCUGAUUUGACCCCUAGCCCGGGAACUUCCAUAU
rnacentral:lncRNA from 1 species